rnacentral:snoRNA from 1 species
UUGCAUCUCUAACAGCCCUGGAGCAGUUAAUGUCUGCUGCAAGGGUUUCUACUACAGAUGCAAGGAAAAGAAGGCCCUCGUGCUUUCUGUCUGGCUGGCUGUGGCAGCCAGGACUGAAUAGGGAAAUACAGGA